rnacentral:rRNA from 4 species
AAAUUGAAGAGUUUGAUCAUGGCUCAGAUUGAACGCUGGCGGCAGGCCUAACACAUGCAAGUCGAACGGUAACAGGAAGCAGCUUGCUGCUUCGCUGACGAGUGGCGGACGGGUGAGUAAUGUCUGGGAAACUGCCUGAUGGAGGGGGAUAACUACUGGAAACGGUGGCUAAUACCGCAUAACGUCGCAAGACCAAAGAGGGGGACCUUCGGGCCUCUUGCCAUCAGAUGUGCCCAGAUGGGAUUAGCUUGUUGG